CUGCGAAUUUCCUGGGAAGGUUUACUCAUUGACUUCAAAGACUUCAGUCGUCUGGACCUUCUACCAAAAGAGGCAUGGUUUGCAGUGGUGCAUGGACGAGAGGGCCCGUUGAGAAGGAGAGAGAACUGUGUUUGGCCUGUGGACUCAGGAGGAUUCUCCAUGAAGAAGUUACUCAAAGAAACGGAAGAAGGAAGAAGCCACUCCAGGUGGUUAGUUGGAAGGUUGAACAGGUAACACUGUGAUGGAGGCAAAGAAGUAUGGUUGGACUGAAGCUCAGGAGAGGACCCGUCUUCUGCCAG